UACGUAGGUGACAAGCGUUGUCCGGAUUUACUGGGCGUAAAGGGCGCGUAGGCGGCCAACUAAGUCAGACGUGAAAUCCCUCGGCUCAACCGGGGAACUGCGUCUGAUACUGGAUGGCUUGAAUUCGGGAGAGGGAUGCGGAAUUCCAGGUGUAGCGGUGAAAUGCGUAGAUAUCUGGAGGAACACCGGUGGCGAAGGCGGCAUCCUGGACCGAGAUUGACGCUGAUGCGCGAAAGCCAGGGGAGCAAACGGG
rnacentral:rRNA from 1 species